rnacentral:hammerhead_ribozyme from 1 species
AUUCAGCUGACGAGUCCCGAAUAGGACGAAACUUGUGUGCUUGAU